rnacentral:rRNA from 1 species
AUUGAACGCUGGCGGCAGGCCUAACACAUGCAAGUCGAGCGAGUGGCGGACGGGUGAGUAAUGUAUGGGGAUCUGCCCGAUAGAGAGGGAUAACUACUGGAAACGGUGGCUAAUACCGCAUACUAUCGGAUGAACCCAUAUGGGAUUAGCUAGUAGGUGGGGUAAAGGCUCACCUAGGCGACGAUCCCUAGCUGGUCUGAGAGGAUGAGCAGCCACACUGGAACUGAGACACGGUCCAGACUCCUACGGGAGGCAGCAGGGGGGAAUAGUGCACAAUGGGCGCAAGCCUGAUGCAGCCAUGCCGCGUGUAUGAAGAAGGCCUUAGGGUUGUAAAGUACUUUCAGCGGGGAGGCGUUACCCGCAGAAGAAGCACCGGCUAACUCCGUGCCAGCAGCCGCGGUAAUAC